UAAGCUAAAUUAUGCAGAAAUUGAGGAAA
rnacentral:piRNA from 1 species